AUGAGCCUGGGCUCCUCUCAUCCUUCUUGCCCAGCACAUCCUCCGUGCCCGGCUGGCUGCGGGGCUUGGGGGGUCCCCGUGUCCCCCCUGUGCCACCCUCGUGUCCCCGGGUGUGUCCCCGGGGGUGUCCCCGGGGGUGUCUCGGCUCGGUGGGGCGCUGCCCGGGCCGAUCCCGGGCCUAUCCCGGGAUUUCCCCGCUCCCCCGGUCACCCCUCUAGGUGUCACCCGCGGCUGCCGGUGCCGAGCGCCGGGACCGCGCUUCCCUCCGGAGCGUUCCCGGAGCGUUCCCGGUUUAUUCCUGCCUCCUUCCCGGCUCAUUCCCAGCUCAUUCCCGGCUCAUUCCCAGCACAUUCCUGCCUCAUUCCUACCUCCUUCCCGGCUCCUUCCCGGAGCAUCCCCGGCUCAUUCCCGGCUCAUUCCCGGCUCAUUCCUGCCUCAUUCCUGUCUCAUUCCCGGCUCAUUCCCAGCACAUUCCUGCCUCAUUCCCGGCUCAUUCCAGUCUCAUUCUCGGCUUAUUCCCGACUCAUUCCUGCCUCAUUCCCAGCUCAUUCCAGGUGCAUUCCUGGAGCAUUCCUGCCUCAUUCCCGGAGCAUCCCUGGCUCAUUCCCGGCUCAUCCCCGGCUCAUUCCAAUUUCAUUCCAAUCUCAUUCCUGCCUCAUUCCCGGCUCAUUCCCCGUGCCCAGCCCCUUCCCGGCCUCUGCCGGGCACCAAAGAUCCUGCCCGGGCUGGGGGGCACAUUUUGCUGCCACAUCCCAGUUGUUCCCCGUCCAUCCCCGUCCAUCCCCGUCCAUCCCAGUUGUUCCCAGUCCAUCCCCAUCAAUCCCAGUCCCCCCCCAUCCUUCCCAAGGAGCUGCGAGCACCGUGGAUUUCCCCAUCUACUUUAUUAUUUCCUCUUUUUAUAUUUUUUUUCCUGGUUUUCCCCCUUUUUUCUUUUCUUUUUCUCUCCCUUUUCCAUGUUUCCCCCCUUUUCCUCUUCUCCUUUUUUCUUCCUUUUUCCUUAUUCUCCUUAUUCCCCCUUUUGCCUCUCUUCCUUGUCUAUUUUUUCUUUAUUCCCCUGAUUUCCCUUUUUUCUUUUUGCCUUCAUUUUUCUUUAUUCCCCUUUCUCCCUCUUUCCUUUUUCCUUUUUCCAUUUCCUUUUUUCUUUUUCUUUCUUUUUUCUCUAUUUUCUUUUUUCUUCUUCCCACUUUCCCCCCCUAUUUUUCCCUUUUUCCUCCAUUUUUCUUUCUACUUUUCCCCUUUGAUUUCCUUUUUCUUUUCUCCUUUUUUUUUCCAUUUUUCUUUUCUCUCUUUUUUUUCUCCCUUUUAUUUUUUAUUUUUCACCUUUGUUCCCCCACUCCUUAA
rnacentral:lncRNA from 1 species